rnacentral:rRNA from 1 species
CUGCGAAGCGCUCAGUAAAUCAGUUAUUGUCCGUUCGGUCAUAUCAGCCAUGGAUAACUGUGGUAAAUCUAGAGCUAAAACAUAGCAAAUCUCGUACUUGUGCGGGAGCAUUUAUUAGACUCAACCAACUGGCCUCGGCCAUUUGAUGAAUCCUAAUAACUGGGCAUAUCGAACAUUAAUUUGUCGAUAGUCCGAUCGAAUUUCUGCCCUAUCAACUAGUUGGUGAGGUAGUGGCUCACCAAGGUGUUAACGGGUAACGGGGGAUCAGGGUUCGAUUCCGGAGAGGGAGCCUGAGAAACGGCUACCACAUCUAAGGAAGGCAGCAGGCGCGCAAAUUACCCAAUCCAGACUUUGGGAGGUAGUGACGAGAAAUACCGGAGUAGACCGUAUAUUGGUUCACUAUCGGAAUGAACGUAAUUUAAUACCUUCGAUGAGUAGCUACUGGAGGGCAAGUCUGGUGCCAGCAGCCGCGGUAAUUCCAGCUCCAGUAGUGUAUAUCAAAAUUGUUGCGGUUAAAACGCUCGUAGUUGGAUUACAAAAGCUCUCUGGCGGCCAAAUCUAGGUUUGGUCGCCGUGGGGUUUUUUUAUCGCGAGAGCCGCAUGUGGGAUUAACUUCUUGUGUGCGGUCACUUGCGAGGUGUGCCUUGAAUAAAGCACAGUGCUCAAAGCAGGCGAUAGCUCGAAUGUUAUAGCAUGGAACGAUUAUGUUGAUCUUGUCGACUGUUGGUUGUUGACAUUGGUCUCGAUUAAAAGGGACAUUUGAGGGCGUUAGUACUUGGUGGCGAGGGGUGAAAUCCUUAGACCCAUCAAAGACUAACUAAUGCGAAAGCAUUCGCCAAGAGUGUUUUCAUUAAUCAAGAACGAAAGUAGGAGGUUCGAAGACGAUCAGAUACCGUCCUAGUUCCUUACAGUAAACUAUGCCAACAUGGGAUUAGCCCGGUUUAAACCAGGUUGGGCCCUCAGUGAAAAUAAGUGUUUCGGUUCUGGGGAGAGUGCGUACGCAAGUGCCAAAUUUAAAGAAAUUGACGGAAUGGCACCACCAGGAGUGGAGCCUGCGGCUUAAUUUGAUUCAACACGGGGAAACUCACCAGGUCCAGACAUUGGUAGGAUUGACAGACUGAGAGAUCUUUCAUGAUUUGAUGAUUGGUGGUGCAUGGCCGUUCUUAGUUGGUGGAGUGAUCUGUCAGGUUUAUUCCGGUA